rnacentral:rRNA from 1 species
UACGUAGGGUGCGAGCGUUAAUCGGAAUUACUGGGCGUAAAGCGUGCGCAGGCGGAUAUUUAAGUCAGAUGUGAAAUCCCCGGGCUCAACCUGGGACCUGCAUUUGUGACUGUAUAGCUAGAGUGCGGCAGAGGGGGGUGGAAUUUCGCGUGUAGCAGUGAAAUGCGUAGAGAUGCGGAGGAACACCGAUGGCGAAGGCAGUCCCCUGGGCCUGUACUGACGCUCAUGCACGAAAGCGUGGGGAGCAAACAGGAUUAGAUACCCUGGUAGUCCACGCCCUAAACGAUGUCAACUGGUUGUUGGGUCUGCACUGACUCAGUAACGAAGCUAACGCGUGAAGUUGACCGCCUGGGGAGUACGGCCGCAAGGUUG